UAGUCUGCAACUCGACUACAUGAAGCUGGAAUCGCUAGUAAUCGCGAAUCAGCAUGUCGCGGUGAAUACGUUCCCGGGUCUUGUACACACCGCCCGUCACACCAUGGAGUUGGAAACGCCCGAAGUCAGUGACCCAACCGUCAAAGAGGGAGCUGCCGAAGGCGGGGCCGAUAACUGGGGUGAAGUCGUAACAAGGUACC
rnacentral:rRNA from 1 species